rnacentral:rRNA from 1 species
AGUGAACGCUGGCGGUAGGCCUAACACAUGCAAGUCGAACGGCAGCACAGUAAGAGCUUGCUCUUACGGGUGGCGAGUGGCGGACGGGUGAGGAAUACAUCGGAAUCUACUUUUUCGUGGGGGAUAACGUAGGGAAACUUACGCUAAUACCGCAUACGACCUACGGGUGAAAGCAGGGGAUCCUCGGACCUUGCGCGACUGAAUGAGCCGAUGUCGGAUUAGCUAGUUGGGGGGGUAAAGGCCCACCAAGGCGACGAUCCGUAGCUGGUCUGAGAGGAUGAUCAGCCACACUGGAACUGAGACACGGUCCAGACUCCUACGGGAGGCAGCAGUGGGGAAUAUUGGACAAUGGGCGCAAGCCUGAUCCAGCCAUACCGCGUGGGUGAAGAAGGCCUUCGGGUUGUAAAGCCCUUUUGUUGGGAAAGAAAAGCAGCAGGUUAAUACCCCGCUGUUCUGACGGUACCCAAAGAAUAAGCACCGGCUAACUUCGUG